CUGAUCUAGCCAUGCCGCGUGGGUGAUGAAGGCCUUAGGGUCGUAAAGCACUUUCGCCAGGGAUGAUAAUGACAGUACCUGGUAAAGAAACCCCGGCUAACUCCGUGCCAGCAGCCGCGGUAAUACGGAGGGUGCGAGCGUUAAUCGGAAUUACUGGGCGUAAAGCGCACGUAGGCGGAUCAGAAAGUUGGGGGUGAAAUCCCAGGGCUCAACCCUGGAACUGCCUCCAAAACUCCUGGUCUUGAGUUCGAGAGAGGUGAGUGGAAUUCCGAGUGUAGAGGUG
rnacentral:rRNA from 1 species